UGUGAUGUUUGUUCUAUUAGUUGGAUUCUUGGUUUGGCAGGUAGUUUUUUACCACAGUUAAAGUAAUGUUGUUUAGUUCAAUUGUGUAAUUGUCGUUAGCUGUGAACCACUGUGCACACUUGCACAAUGUACAAGAGAGAGAGAGAAGGAGGGGGGAAGAAAGUUUACUAUCAAAUCCUUUAGUCCUUUUUUUUCACAUUUGGAUUUAGACUCCUGUCUGAAGUGAGCUCUGGAACCUGCCUGCCUAAACUGUAUUGGGACUAUUGAUACUAACCUUUCCUGUUUUCUCUAGCAGUUGGUGCACAUGGUUAUGGCUGUGAGCUGUAGUUCCUAUGGUACAGGGUUUGAGUCCCUCAGCCUUCGUUUGCCUACUUUGUGACCUUGAGCUAGUCACUUAACCAGCUAGUACUUAGGAGAACUAAGAAUUUGUACUAGGUGCCUCGAUGGUCCCCUGCACUGCAAACCUAGUAAUUCCCUAUAAAUCUUCUCAUCUUUGGGAUAUUCUUGUGGCUGUUUUCCUGUUUGGCAGAUUCAUGCUUCAUACGAACUUUGAUGUGAUAAAUACGGGAUUGUUGUACAAGUUUAACACCUAUUCUGCUGAGCUGUAGACCACUCUGCAUAUAUAUGGAGCACGUACAAGAGAAAAGGAAGGAGAAGAGAUUAUAUUUAUACAUCUGGGUUCAUAUUAGCUGUGUGAACUGAAAUGAAGCAGCAUGACACUGCUAGGCUAUUACUCUGGCCCUUGUGGGUAUAACUGUGACCUUUAUUAUGUUUCAAAUACUAGUUAAGACUCUUCUGUAUCAAGGAACCACUGACAAGGAACUUAAAUAAGUGAGAUGACAUCAGAGGUCAUACAAGAGGAACAAGAAGUUGGAGGAAGUGAAAGAGUGAACAGUGACAAAUCCAAGGUGCAUGUGAUUUCUCAAAGUAAAGAUGAUAAAGAAAAUUAAAUCAAGAAAACGAAAAGUAUUUGCAUUUGCAACUGUCUAAGGUUGCCCCUACAAAUACUCAGCAAACCAAUAUUUACUAGAAUGCUCUCAGAAGAAAAUAGACUAUAUCUGAAUGAACAGGCAAACAACAGUAAAGGAAAAGAUGAUGUCAACUGAAUGUUCCUGAUUUCAUUCCGACGCCAUUUGUCAUCGAGCAAUUUUGCUUGAAAUGAUUUCUUAGGAAGCAGCACAUUAUUCUCUGUUUCUAUCUAUAUGUAUAUGGCAAUAAAUAAA